AAACCUCUCACGCCCCGGGUCUAAUCGAUCCGCGCGGCUGUGGACCGUGGCCGUCGGCCGGCUCUCGUAGUCGGCCCGGCCGAAAUAUAUGCGGAGCGCUUCUGCUGCCCGCGACGACCGAGCGUUGUAGACCCCUCGCUUGAUCGGCGUGAGCGCAGGCUCCCCAACCUACUU
rnacentral:misc_RNA from 1 species